rnacentral:lncRNA from 1 species
CUUCACUAAUAGCUUUUUUGUUUUCCAGGACUCAUCUGCAGUGGGAAUGGAUAAGAGUCCAGGGCCCAGCAUUUCAGUAUUUGCUUCCUUCCUUCAGGACCCAUUGGAGUUGGGAAGGGCUAAAUGUUUGCCUUUGGUGGAGAUGCUGGGGGCAACCUGGGAAGGAUGAAAGUCUGCUUUUUCCCUCAGGGCCCAUUGUUACUGGGAAAGGAUGUACUGGGAGAGGUUCAAUGUUUGGCUAAUUUUCUUCCUUCCUUUGGAGCCACACUGCCCCUCCAUUUUUAUUGGGGGGGGGACUGAUUGUAGGAAUAUUAUUUUCCAUAAGACUUCAGAUAGUAUUUUUUAAAAAGCACCUGUGAUUACAAGGUGAAGCAAAUGCUAUCAAAACCAUCACAGUUCUAUCAAAACCAAAAUAUUUUGGGGGCUUAGUGGUAGAGCUCUUGCUUAGCACAUAAAGGCCCUGAGUUUGAUCUUGUGCAACACACAUACACACACCAAAAAUAAAAAUAAAAUAUAGGAAAUAUCUUUGUGAUUUUGAAUAGGUGAUGAUAGAACAGUUGGUACCUGAAAGGAUGUUAUUUUGUUUUAAAUACAAAGAAAUCAUAGCAGAAAUAAAUUUCUUUAAAAUGCCUUUCAACUUAUAGAAGAUAUGGAAUUCACUGUUUUUCUUCCUCAACUGAUUGUUCUCCAAUGUUUAUUAACUUUCUCCAAGAUGGUAUUUCUCAUAUCUCAAAAUGACUGAUUUGUUACUGCUGGGCAUGUAUUUUC